rnacentral:lncRNA from 1 species
GUUUGAAAUUUGUUCUGGUCUGAUGAUAUUGUGCAGUUAUGGUCCUUGGCCUUGGAACAAAUAAAUUGCCAGUUGAAACCUAUGGAAAAUCACAUUUUCAUCUUCCUCUUACUUAUUAAUUGGUGGUUGUUUGCUUUUAAACACCUAGUGGGAAACAUUUCAUGCAUAUUCAGUAGAGAACAACAAUAAAUCUGAUUUCUGCAAAGUGGACCACAAACAGACACCUUAAAUUGUUGUUGCAAGGAUUCUUUAUGGUGCAGAGAAUGGCACUUUUCCUGCAUAUAUCUAAAUGAAUAUAUUCAACUACUUUUUAUUCAGAAAUUGUUGUGUGCAUUUAUAUAUUAUUAGUUUUUGAGGUUUGGACAAAAAUGGAAGAUUAGUUAUUGCAAUUUUAGGAAAAGCUGCAUACAUACAGAUAUCAGA